AUGCUCUCUUAGGCAGCACAUAUAAUUGAAACGAGACAGAGAAGAUUAACUUGGCCCAUGUAGAAGGAUGACACACAAAUUCAUGAAGUGUUUCAUAAAAAA
rnacentral:snRNA from 1 species